UCUGCCUCCAGGUUGCCCCAUGGUCCUUCUCACUCUGUGGUUGAUUAGCCAGUGUGCUUUUAUGGCAAGGUUUUCAGCUGCUGUUUUGCCUUUUGGUUUGCUGUAUUAUUAUUAUCCCC